AACUUUUGAUGGGGUCGUUACCCGCUGUUAAGCCAUUAUUUCCUUCCACACCUGGGCUGGCGCCACCCUGUCCCUGCUGCCCAGCCCAGCAAGCAGCUGGGCCCGUCGCUUCCUGUGGCCGCGACCUAGUCUUUUAAAACCCUCUGCAGGGAGCCUGGUGGCCGCCCCGGGAGGUGCAGCCUGGCCCUUUCCGCAGCGCUGCUGGGCCGGGCGGGGCCUGUGCCUCCCGAUGCGCUGUGGGCAUCUCCCGCGCGCCCUCCCCUCGGGGUGUGGUGCCCUCUAGGACGCAGACAGGCUGUUAGGAGCGGAGUCCCUGUGUUCACCUGGUCUCUGACGGCGGUUGUAGUUCUGUCGCCGCCGCCCUGGCCGCCAGCAGUUGAGAGUGUGGCUAGCCUGUGCCCCUGCCCUGACUUCCCGUGCGAUUCUGGUUGGCCCUCCGCGGCCGCGCCCAGCCCAACGGCUCUCCGCAGACGGGCACGUACCAGCCGUGUGCGGCAGCCUGGGGUCCCCGCUGCAGUCCUUCCCUCUUCGCGUCCUAAGCCUCCUCAGCAGAGAAACCCCAGCGAGGUGGGUCUUCUCUUGUUCUGCCGUGGAGCCCUGGGGUUGCCCUGGCCGGCUUGGCAGAGGAGUCCACAGCGCCAGGCCCUGUGCUGGGCGCUCGGGCAGCAUUUGCUCCUUACAGCAGCACUGAGAGACACAGGCAGAGGAGAAGCAGGCUCCGUGCAGGGAGCCCGAUGCGGGAUUCGAUCCGAGACUCCACGAUCACGCCUUGGGCUGAAAGCAGGCACAAAACAGCUGAGCCACCCAGGGACCCCCUAGGACUAGCGCUCUCCACCUUGGCCUGCGUCACACACAGAGAGAGAGAGAAGCAGAGACAUAGGCAGAGGGAGAAGCAGGCUCCAUGC